CCUACGGGUGGCAGCAGUAGGGAAUUUUGCUCAAUGGAGGCAACCCUGACCCAGCAACGCCGCGUGCAGGAUGAAGCCCUUCUGGGUGUAAAAAUGUUUUAGUGGGGACGAAAACUGACGCUACCCACAGAUAAUGCACCUGCUGACUCAGUGCCAGCAGCCUCGGUAAGACGGGGGGUGCAAGCGUUGUCCGGAUGGAUGGGGGGUAAAGGGUUCGUAGGUGGCACGUGAAGUCUGGGGUGAAAGGCGGAAGCUCAACUUGGGUAGGGCAGUGGAUACUGGCGAGAUUGAAUGCGGUAGAGGUAAAGGGAAUUCCUGGUGUAGCGGUGAAAUGCGUAGAUAUCAGGAGGAACAUCGGUGGCGAAGGCGCUUUACUGGGGCGUAAUUGACACUGAGGAACGAAAGCGUGGGUAUCGAACAGGAUUAGAUACCCCUGUAGUC
rnacentral:rRNA from 1 species